rnacentral:rRNA from 1 species
UGCAGGCUUAACACAUGCAAGUCGAGGGGCAGCAUGGUCUUAGCUUGCUAAGGCCGAUGGCGACCGGCGCACGGGUGAGUAACACGUAUCCAACCUGCCGUCUACUCUUGGACAGCCUUCUGAAAGGAAGAUUAAUACAAGAUGGCAUCAUGAGUCCGCAUGUUCACAUGAUUAAAGGUAUUCCGGUAGACGAUGGGGAUGCGUUCCAUUAGAUAGUAGGCGGGGUAACGGCCCACCUAGUCUUCGAUGGAUAGGGGUUCUGAGAGGAAGGUCCCCCACAUUGGAACUGAGACACGGUCCAAACUCCUACGGGAGGCAGCAGUGAGGAAUAUUGGUCAAUGGGCGAGAGCCUGAACCAGCCAAGUAGCGUGAAGGAUGACUGCCCUAUGGGUUGUAAACUUCUUUUAUAAAGGAAUAAAGUCGGGUAUGCAUACCCGUUUGCAUGUACUUUAUGAAUAAGGAUCGGCUAACUCCGUGCCAGCAGCCGCGGUAAUACGGAGGAUCCGAGCGUUAUCCGGAUUUAUUGGGUUUAAAGGGAGCGUAGAUGGAUGUUUAAGUCAGUUGUGAAAGUUUGCGGCUCAACCGUAAAAUUGCAGUUGAUACUGGAUAUCUUGAGUGCAGUUGAGGCAGGCGGAAUUCGUGGUGUAGCGGUGAAAUGCUUAGAUAUCACGAAGAACUCCGAUUGCGAAGGCAGCCUGCUAAGCUGCAACUGACAUUGAGGCUCGAAAGUGUGGGUAUCAAACAGGAUUAGAUACCCUGGUAGUCCACACGGUAAACGAUGAAUACUCGCUGUUUGCGAUAUACAGCAAGCGGCCAAGCGAAAGCGUUAAGUAUUCCACCUGGGGAGUACGCCGGCAACGGUGAAACUCAAAGGAAUUGACGGGGGCCCGCACAAGCGGAGGAACAUGUGGUUUAAUUCGAUGAUACGCGAGGAACCUUACCCGGGCUUAAAUUGCAGAUGAAUUACGGUGAAAGCCGUAAGCCGCAAGGCAUCUGUGAAGGUGUUGCAUGGUUGUCGUCAGCUCGUGCCGUGAGGUGUCGGCUUAAGUGCCAUAACGAGCGCAACCCUUGUUGUCAGUUACUAACAGGUUCCGCUGAGGACUCUGACAAGACUGCCAUCGUAAGAUGUGAGGAAGGUGGGGAUGACGUCAAAUCAGCACGGCCCUUACGUCCGGGGCUACACACGUGUUACAAUGGGGGGUACAGAGGGCCGCUACCACGCGAGUGGAUGCCAAUCCCAAAAACCUCUCUCAGUUCGGACUGGAGUCUGCAACCCGACUCCACGAAGCUGGAUUCGCUAGUAAUCGCGCAUCAGCCACGGCGCGGUGAAUACGUUCCCGGGCCUUGUACACACCGCCCGUCAAGCCAUGGGAGCCGGGGGUACCUGAAGUGCGUAACCAAGAGGAGCGCCCUAGGGUAAAACUGGUGA